GGGCCUGUAGCUCAGCUGGGAGAGCGCUGCCUUCGCAUGGCAGAGGUCACGAGUUCGAGUCUCGUCAGGUCCA
rnacentral:tRNA from 2 species